UAGCAGCGUUUUCUAAAUUCAAAAUACUCAGUUUUCGUAAAUUGUUGAAUUAACAAAAGCAGAGAUUCUUUGCUGACAAAUAAUAUAUGAGUGUAUGCAUAUAUACGUACAUGUAUGUACAUAUCUUCAUCUACAUGUAUAUAUAGAUGCAUAUCUGGGUACAAGACGUUGCAAACAAAACGUUGACAAAAUGAUAAACAGAGUACAGAAAACACACAGGCCACAUAGAGAACAUUUCCUUCAUCAGCUGCCACCAUUCUAAAACUAAGCUUUCAUCACAUUUCGACAAGAAAAACUAUUGCCAAAUUUGUUCUAAUUCAUAUUUGACCUGGAUCAAAUAUGUCACGUGGUUACAGUGCUUUUGUUCGUGGUAGUUGGCGCUCGUUUUCUCUACCUGCGAACUUGUUGACAACGACGACGACGAUGACGACGAUGAUGAUGAUGAUGAUGAUGAUGAUUAUAACAGUGAUGAUAUUCCCGUGCACCUCACUCAAUCGUGUUGAAAUGACAAGCCUAACGCCUUUCGAGGGAUUUAGCAUCACUGGACCAACGAGAAUGGAAAUAACAUGUCGCUUUGAAGCCAAAAACUUAGGCUUCUUCAGACUCAGACGUAACGAUGAAGUCAUUGUUGAUAUUGGUUUCCACGAAGGUGUGGGAGUUUUUGAAGUCAUUCAUGCCGUGAAAGAUUUCGGCUGCACCUUACCGCGAGCUGCAACGACGAGAGGUGAAUUGUACUGCUGGAAAAAUAACCUAGAUUGCAGUGAUGUAGCAUCUUAUACAUGUGAGAUAUCGAAUGCAAACGAGUCGAAUUCAAGGUUUCUGAAAGUGAAAUCUUUUGUCAAAAGUCUUAAAAAUAUCGAUCUACCUUCUGAGAAGAAGAAAAAUAAGGUGUCUACAUUCAGGUGUUUGGCAUAUGUUUCACCAGCUACACACGACUCUGUCACCUUUAGAUGGACUCUAAAACAUAAGACUGAAAACGCUAAACCAAAGAUGACAGACAACAAAGUGACUCUUCCGAAAACUGGCCAACGCUGCAUAGCAGUGCAGUCGCUGCAUCGACACACCUUAACCGACAAAGAUGACACUGGAACAAUUAUCUCAUGUUCAGCAUUUGGCAGGACACUUUCAAAACAAGUGAAUAUCUUCGGUGCAAAAUCUAGCAGCACCAUUUCUGCUCUACCAGAUACGACAUGGCUUUCUGUCUCCAAACUUUCUUUUCUCUUUCUGGUUCUUGCAAGUUGCCGCUAGCAUCAUCCCGUUUUUACUCAAGGAUUAUAAGGAAGGUACAUUGGUUCUUUAGUGCUCGUAGGAUUUUGACAAUGGAUGUGGGCAAGAUUCAUCCAAUCGGAAAAGAAAAGUUCCAGAAAAUAUUUAGGAAAUUUCGUCACAUUUCGACACGAAGAUCCAUCGCCAACUUUGCUCUAAUUUAUAUUUGAUCUGGAUCAAAUAUGUCACGUGGUUACAAUGCUUUUGUUCGGGGCAGUCGGCACCCGUUUUCUCUACCAACCAACCUGUUGACGACAACGACGAUAAUGAUGAUGAUGAUAAUGAUUAUAACAGUGAUGAUAUUUCCGUGCACCU